AUAAAUAUCCUAAUACCCUAACCCUAUUUUCAUUUUUUCUCUUCGUUCUCUUUGAAAAGUCCAGGCGCCGCUCCUCUUCUCCCAACAUCGUCCAUCGUCGGCAAAGCCCAUUGACAAAUACCCUUCUCCACCCUCACUCGCGGGACCAACCACCAAGCGAGCCCUUCUCCUUCUUCUCUCUCCUCACGGCGCUUCUCCAACCACCAGUGGAUAGCAUCCACUUCACCAUCCAAACCAGUCGCCCCUCUCCUCCCCUUUCUCUUUCCCUCUGACUCUCAUUGGUUCCGACCAAAAAUUCCGACAAGACAACCACUGUGAAGAUCCAUUUGGCUUUGACCAUUCAAGCCAAUCAUCAUCCUUCCCCCAACGAGAUCGACAACAAUGACAACAAGAGCAUCGUUUCUCCGUCGCUCCAACGAGCGAGACCCGAUGGUGCCUUGAGGUUAUUGGGGGCUAUUGAAUAGUCGGAUCUUAACAGAUCCAUUCAGGUCUGAAGCAUUGUGGAUGUGAUUAGGCCGAACAAGAAGACGAGCAGAGAGAGAAAAAUCUGAAGACUUUGUUCCCAUACUAGAAGGGAAUUUCUUAGAGGAAAGUAAGCAAGAAAAAGAAGUGGUUGACCAAGUAUGUUUAACAUAAGAUUUGUUUAUCAUUAAACAUGUCUUUCGCAUUAUCAGGCUUAUUAUUUUGAAUUUUUUAUAGGCUGGUGAAAUAUUGGGUAUAUUAAUAAAAAUAUUAAAGGCAGAUUUGUUGCAAUCAAGAUUAUUCACAAAGCAAAAGUCAUAUCAAAAGGAAUAACAUUGUUCAUUCUCAACAAGGGACCUGAUUGACUGUUGCGGCGUCUUUAGUUGGUUUUUGUGUUCUGUGUCUUGUUCUUUUAUAUUGUAAAUCUACUACAACUAUAAAGGAUAGUAGAUCGUUUCUUCUAUUAUCUUUGUGAUCUGAUUAGGUGGCCUUGUGUUACUUAUGGUGUAGUGCUGGAGUCUAUAUCAGCUAGAGAUAGUUGGUAUAGUGAACAAUAAUGUUAUUGCUUAGUUGUCUUGUAAUAGAGGUGUUACAAGGGUGAUAGGAUUAAAAGUUUAAUCCACUGUAAUUACUUGAGUUUGCAGUUACGAGUUUCUUGAAAUUGGUGGAGCCUUGAGAAUUUCUAUGAGAGAGCAAGUUGUGGUUUUUUCCUCCCUUGAGCAAAGAGGCUUCCACGUAAAAACUUUGGGUCUUCUACCUUUCAGUAUCUACUUCAAUACUUUAUUUACCCCUUUUUUUAUGGGACCCGAUCUCUAUCAUGGAGGACUUGUGAGCCAACAGUAUUUUCUCCGGACUUCAGAUAUCUGGACUACUUUUGGACAUUGUGGAUGAGAUUAAGCAGAUCAUCACAGCCAGUUCAAGUUGAACAAGUUAACGUGAAGAGAGCUCAAAAUCUGAGCAAGAACAUGGGUAUUUCAUUUAUUGAAUACCACUAAUGUCUUAUCUAGUCUGCUUUUUAUCUCCUUGGUAUAUGUGCAGAACACAGUGGAUUCUGCUUUCAAGUUUAAAGUGGGAGGUAUUGUAUGAUGUUGGAAACCUUUCCUGUUUUUUUCUGAAGCAUAUGACGGCGGAACGUGUAACGUAUGCAUACUUUAACAUCGUUUCAUUACCUUUACUUUUCAGAGUAUCGAUGUUGUUUUAAGGCAUCCAAAUCUUGUACUAUGUGAGAAUGAGAACCUUGUUACGAUUUCUUCAAUUCUCAUGCCAGGGUUGUGCAUGGCCAACUUUGUUGAUUAGCUGACAGAGCAGAUUGCUAGUAGGAUGAUUACUCUGUUGAAGUAGUCUCCCUGGCUUAACACUGCAACCAAUGCUAGGCAUUGUGGAAGUGAACAACCUUUCUCCAAUGCAAUGAACCUAUUAGACAUGUAGCUAUGUGUGAAUCAAAUACUCUCCAUUCUCAUUAACGACAUUCAUUUUGACUUGAGUCUAUGUUCUGGCAAAGUAUGUGUGAACUCAACUUCACUUUCGAAAUGCCUCUUUACCAAAAGGAAUGAAAUUUGCGGUAUGAGAUACUCCCUCCGUCCAAUUUUAUA